rnacentral:rRNA from 1 species
AUUGAACGCUGGCGGCAGGCCUAACACAUGCAAGUCGAGCGAGCGGCGGACGGGUGAGUAAUGUAUGGGGACUGCCCGAUAGAGGGGGAUAACUACUGGAAACGGUAGCUAAUACCGCAUACUAUCGGAUAACCCAUAUGGGAUUAGCUAGUAGGUGAGGUAAUGGCUCACCUAGGCGACGUUCCCUAGCUGGUCUGAGAGGAUGAUCAGCCAAAAGGGAACUGUGACAGGGCCCAGAUUCGAAGGGAGGCAGCAGUGGGGAAUAUUGCAAAAUGGGCGCAAGCCUGAUACAGCCAUGCCGCGUGUAUGAAGAAGGCCCUAGGGUUGUAAAGUACUUUCAGUCGGGAGGCGUUACCGACAGAAGAAGCACCGGCUAACUCCGUGCCAGCAGCCGCGGUAAUUC